GUAGUCUGCAACUCGACUACAUGAAGCUGGAAUCGCUAGUAAUCGCGAAUCAGCAUGUCGCGGUGAAUACGUUCCCGGGUCUUGUACACACCGCCCGUCACACCAUGGGAGUUGGUAACGCCCGAAGCCAGUGACCCAACCCGAGAGGGAGGGAGCUGUCGAAGGUGGGACCGAUAACUGGGGUGAAGUCGUAACAAGGUACC
rnacentral:rRNA from 1 species